CCUCCCCCACCCCCCCAGGCCAGAAGCUGGGUAAGGCUUGCCCCUCCCCCUAGGCCAGAAGCUGGGUAAGGCUAGCCCCUCCCCCUAGUCCAUAAGCAUAAGCUAGGUAUGACUCCCCCUCGGCCAGAAGCUGGGUAUGACUAAACCCCCCCCCCCCCCCCCCCUAGGCCAGAAACUGGGUAUGACUUGCCUCUCCCCCCUCUUACCAAGGCAAGAAGCUGGGUAAGGCUUGGGGCUUGCCCCUCCCCCCAGGCUUUAAGCUGGGUAUGACUUAUCUUUCUUAUGUCUUAAAGAUUAACGUAGAUACUAGUUUUAUUGCAUUUUCUACAACAGUACUGAUCCUCAUUGUGGUCAAAUGAUAAAGUUAUAGACGCUUCCCUUAGGCCCUUUUCACACGUCCCGGUUGCCGGCUAACCGGCGCGCCGGGUAUCCGGUGGUGAAGUGUAUGGGCAUGGCAUGGUACGUAGCGUUCACAUGUUCCGGCGUAGUUAAUCCGGCAUACCCAUACACUUCACCACCGCGUACCCGGCGCCGGUUAGCCGGCAACCGGAACAUGUGAAAAGGGCCUUAGAGUGACGUCAUAUCGCCAGCGGCAAACUUAAAGCGAACGGAUAGUAAUUCAUUAAUCAUUUACCAAAUAUGUAAAAAUAUAUAAUUUAAAUUUGUUUUGUAUAGAGGUUCUAUUUUUAGUCUACGAAUUGAAAACGACCCUGCUCUACAUUUUUGCAUCUUUUUUUAAAUGCAUAGCUAUUAUUUUCAUAGUCAUACUUAGUAUAGUACGUUCGUUACAAACCACACAACACUGAAACGGCCGACUGGUUAUAUAAAUUAUAUGAAAUA